rnacentral:rRNA from 1 species
UACGAAGGGGGCUAGCGUUGCUCGGAAUCACUGGGCGUAAAGGGCGCGUAGGCGGCCCUGUUGGUCGGGCGUGAAAUCCCCGGGCUCAACCCGGGGGCUGCGCCCGAAACGGCGGGGCUGGAGGCAAGGAGAGGCCCGCGGAAUUCCCAGUGUAGAGGUGAAAUUCGUAGAUAUUGGGAAGAACACCGGUGGCGAAGGCGGCGAGCUGGCCUUGAACUGACGCUGAGGCGCGACAGCGUGGGGAGCAAACAGG